UUGCAUUAUUAAAUAACCAAA
rnacentral:piRNA from 1 species